rnacentral:rRNA from 1 species
GUCACGCUGUAAACGAUGUCGAUUUGGAGUUUGUUGCCUAGAGUGAUGGGCUCCGAAGCUAACGCGAUAAAUCGACCGCUGGGGAGUACGGCCGCAAGGUUAAAACUCAAAUGAAUUGACGGGGGCCCGCACAAGCGGUGGAGCAUGUGGUUUAAUUCGAUGCAACGCGAAGAACCUUACCUGGUCUUGACAUCCAUAGAAUUCUGCAGAGAUGUGGGAGUGCCUUCGGGAACUAUGAGACAGGUGCUGCAUGGCUGUCGUCAGCUCGUGUUGUGAAAUGUUGGGUUAAGUCCCGCAACGAGCGCAACCUUUAUUCUUUGUUGCCAGCGAUUUGGUCGGGAACUCAAAGGAGACUGCCGUUGAUAAAGCGGAGGAAGGUGGGGACGACGUCAAGUCAUCAUGGCCCUUACGACCAGGGCUACACACGUGCUACAAUGGCGUAUACAAAGGGAGGCGAAGGUGCGAGCUGGAGCGGAUCUCAUAAAGUACGUCUAAGUUCGGAUUGGAGUCUGCAACUCGACUCCAUGAAGUCGGAAUCGCUAGUAAUCGUAGAUCAGAAUGCUACGGUGAAUACGUUCCCGGGCCUUGUACACACCGCCCGUCACACCAUGGGAGUGGGUUGCACCAGAAGUAGAUAGCUUAACCGCGAGGGGGGCGUUUACCACGGUGUGAUUCAUGACUGGGGUGAAGUCGUAACAAGGUAACCA